UGAAACCAAUUUGCAACAAGAGUAAUGC
rnacentral:piRNA from 1 species